rnacentral:lncRNA from 1 species
UAAGAGCUAUGGCCAAGAUCUUUUAAUCUCGACCGUUCAUAACAUUUGAUCAAUGGUCCAGGAUCUGUUUGGUUGAAUUACAUAAAUAUGUAAUAACUCCUUCACCAUAGUCAAAGACAUACUGUCUCUUCCUUGUACAAACUCCCUCAUCGUCUUUCGCCGUCCUCCGCCUAUCCCCGCAGGCCAAAAAUCGCCUCCGCCGGCGGCAGAGCUCCAAACGACCUCAAAUUUCUACCCCAUGAUACUCUCUUCCUCCUCGUUCAGUAUAUGUCAUCAUCUUCUCUCAAACCCAACCCAUCUCCUUGAAUUUCAGAUCUAAAAAUUGAUGGAAAACCCUAGUUCAUCCAAACUUUACAAAAUCGAUACUAAAUGACCCCCUGACAUCCCUUUCCACGAAUCCUUGGUUGAAACCCUUCAAAUCUCUCUGAAGCUCAUGAAGCUGUGGAGCUAGGGUUCUGUCAGUUUGGACCCGUUGGAAGAUUUUUCAAAGUCGAUUCGACUUCCCAUUAAAUUUAUUUGCUUAUUUUUUGUUAAAUAGACAAAUAACAUUUAUCGGAUUUUGAUUCCGAUGGGGUUUUCUGGGCAAAAGUAUGUGUAAGUUUCUUCUUUAGUUUUUAUCGGUUUCUUUUGUUCGUUCUCAUUAGUUUUGAUAUUUGUUCGUGUAAUCCAUGUUCCCAUUGUUCUUUCGCUUUAUUUCCGUUUAAUCAGUUUACACAAAGAAGAAUUGAAUUAGUUAAGCUCACCUUUUUGGAUUGUUCAAUCGUAAUUCUUUGGUUCCUAGUUUGGUUUACCUCUUUGAUUUUCAAUCUAGUUUAAUUCCUUGUUUAAUUCUUUAAUGUGAUUCCUUGUUUUGUUAAGUUCUGAUUUCCAUAUUUGUUUUCUUUUCUUCUUUUGUCCAAACACUGUUUGAUUUUGUUAGAUAAAUAAUCAAUUACUAAUUAGUCACUAGUCUAAUUAGGUUUUCCCUUUAUCCUGUUUUUUUGAAGUUAAAUUUGGAACUCGUUUUGGAUUAAUUCAGUUAAGUAUUAGUUGUUCAUUGUUAGUGUUAAUUAGUUCAUUGAUAAGUUAGGUUGAAUGGAUAUAGCUGAAUUUAGUUAACUUUGGUUAAUUCCUAACUGGGGUGAGGGAUUGGAAUCAGUUAACUUAGUCUGUAAUUUUCAGACUGUUGGAAAGGCACUUUAGGCAUAGAAAAGGGUAGUUUCUUUAGGAAUUCUAAUUUCAAAGUAAGGGUAAGGGUAGUGUAGGUAUUUCAUAGCCAAAAGAAUCCCUUAGGGUCUUCUAGAAGGGGGCCUUAGUGUAUGUUCUCUGCAUUUUUAUGCAGUAACUUGGGUGACAAGCCAUUAAAAUAGGGUCUAAUGGCCAAAUCCUGAAAAUAAAGUGGGGGAAGAUGAAUAAAAGGGUCCAGAAUAUUUUGUCCCAAUUUUGGCCUAUAAAAGGCAACCCAAAUGCCUUCUUGAACAAGUAUACACUCUCUGAAAAACUGCAGAGAUUUCAGCCAUCAAAAUAUAGUCUCUCCUUCUAGUUUUUAGUUUUUUUUUGAAUUUGAGAUUCAAAGCACAAAACCCAAAAACAAUAGAAAAUAGAAAAAUCAGAAUAUAGUACUGUUUCAUUGCCUAGUUUAGCCCAUUUUUCAAUUCUUAUUUGAAUUCCUCUGCUCUUGCUUGAUCUGUGGGUUUACAAAGGCGUCUGGAGGCAUUUGGUAGCUGGUUUAGUACAUUUGGGUUGAAUAUUUGAGCAUUUGACACUAUUUUGGAUAAUUGAACUGGUUUUUAUCCCUACUGUUGUUGUGUUCACUUUAUUUCUGGGCUAUUCCUUCUAUUUUUUGGGUUUUCAAUUGCCACUGUGUUGUUGCUCGGCUUUUGCUGCUACUGACCUUCUCUCCUACUUAUUUAUGUUCAUUUCCAAGUAUUUUUCCAGCUUCAUGUGGUGUUGAAAAGUUGAAUCCAUGUAUAUUGAUCGAAUUGAGGAAAUAAAAUGUGGAUCAUGCUAAUCUGAUAUCAAUGUAUGCAAUUUUAUGUUAAUUUCAAUUGUAAUUUAACAAUAGUGUUAGUAAAGACUUGGUUGAUUGAAACACUUGAAAAAUUGUGAUAACUGAACUGUAAUAGGACUGUCCAUUUUUAAAUUAAGGAUUUGUUGAAUUUGUGCUGAUAAACUCAUGAAUACACUAGCUGAUUAUGCGAUGUAGUAGCAGAUGCAGCUGAACUUAUUUAGUUUCGGCUUGCUGUUGUAGUUUAACGCCAUAAACUAUUUGAUUAAGGUUUGAGUUGUGUGGUAAUUUGCGUGAGGAUUAUGAACUGAUAAUUUCUAGAUUAAUGACUAUGGAAUGGAGGUACCUAUAUCUCUUGUUUAAGUAUAAAAUCAGCGGACUCAUUUAGCUUAAUACUAGUAUUAGCUAAAUCAAUUGGUAUGCUAAAUGUAUGGUCAAGUCAGUAAUAGUUUAAGUCCAUUGCUGCCUGGAAAACAAAAAAAAUGGAAAACUACUUAAACUUUGUUUAAAUUAAAAUUGUGAAUUUAGCAAUCAAAGUCUUAUGCGUUGAAUUAUAGUUUUCUGUUGCAGCUCAAUGAAGUAAAUUGAAUCUGUGCAUAUGAACGUCAUUGGGCCUGUGUGUGGUUUCUUGUUUUGGGUUGGGCUCAUUUUGAGCUAACUUGGUCAUAUUGUGUAUCGUUGCCCAGACUGGUUUCCAUACCAUGUCUGCCUUAUGGGCCUGCCUAUUGCCAACAUUUGGGCCUAGUUAUUUUUGCAAGGAAGAUGCAGUAGAGUCUGAUCCCUUUCAUAUGAAAUGGCCUAUCGAAUUGGGCCUGUUUUUUACGUACUGCGACUCGAGGUUUGAAUAAUCAGAAUUCGGGUUUUGUGUUAGGUAGCGGGUUCAAGCUAAAAGGUUCUUCCAUUUCUUUGGGCUCG